UACAGAGGUCUCAACCGUUGUUCGGAUUCAUUGGGCGUAAAGGGUGCGUAGGCGGUCGUGCAAGUCGGAUGUGAAAUCUCAGGGCUCAACCCUGAAACUGCAUUCGAUACUGCGUGGCUAGAGUGCUGGAGAGGAGACUGGAAUUUACGGUGUAGCAGUGAAAUGCGUAGAAUAUCGUAAGGAAGACCAGUGGACGAAGGCGAGUCGUCUGGACAGCAACUGA
rnacentral:rRNA from 1 species